rnacentral:rRNA from 1 species
GACGAACGCUGGCGGCGCGCUUAACACAUGCAAGUCGAGCGAAGCGGCGGACGGGUGAGUAACACGUGAGUAACCUGCCUUAGACAUUGGGAUAGCCUCGGGAAACCGGGAUUAAUACCAAAUGGUCUAAGGUGGACUCGCGUACCAUUAGCUAGUUGGUGAGGUAACGGCCCACCAAGGCGACGAUGGGUAGCCGGCCUGAGAGGGUGAACGGGAACAUGUGAACUGAGAAACGGUCCAAACUCUACGGGAUGCAGCAGUGGGUAAUAUUGCACAAGGGAGGGAACUCUGAUGCAGCGAGGCAGCGUGAACAAAGAAGGCUUUCGAGUCGUAAAGUUCUUUUAUAUGGGAAGCGGUACCAUAAGAAAAAGCCCCGGCUAACUACGUGCCAGCAGCCGCGGUAAUAC